UAAUUUCAUCUCCUUUUAUGUUCUUUCUAUUUGAGUUUUCUGUAGAAGCUCAAUUCUAGGUAAAGUUAGUGGACUACUUUUCUUCUGGAAAUGGCUUCCAAUCCAUAUAAGCUUAUCAAACUUGGUUGAGUUAUAAGUUUGUCAAUUUCCUUGUUUUCUUGAUAAAUUAAUCCAUAUAGAUAUUAUCUGCUUAUAUGUUUAUUGAUUUCUUUAUUUUCUUGAUAGAUUAAUCUGUGUAGAUAUUGUUCAUUUUGGACUUAAAGAAUUCCCACGAUUUAAAAACGUGUUUAUAAAAUUAGGAAGAAUUCAUACAUAAAUAGCAUCAAAAAAAAUUUUUCUCCUAUCUAAUAUGGGAUUUUUGGUUUAUAUAUAGCAACAAUAUCUACAAGAUUGAAAUUGAAUUAUUAUAUAACUAAUAUUGGUUUUAUGAUCCAAUUCAUGCAUGGAAACCAAAGCGACCCCUAAGAUGAGCUUGAAGCUUUUAAUCAACAAAAAGGAUGAUCAAGUUGUCUUCGUUGAAGCUGAAAAAAAUUUCGUAGAUUUCCUAUUCAACCUUCUGACUUUGCCGAUUGGCACCACAACGAGUUUUCUUCCAAAAGGAAUUUCCCUAGGAGGCCUGCAUGAGAGUAUCAAAAAACUCGAUGGAGCUUACCUGCAACCUAACCAGAGCGCGGACUCGCCCCUGAAAUUGAAUACACUAGCCUAUGCUAUUCUUCCUUUCUUUAAUUCUUCUUCAACGAGGAGUCAUGGUCAUGUGCAGGGCUUAGUUACCUACAUGGUGACUGAUGACUUGUCGGUUACACCCAUGUCCAUGGCAACAACCAUGGCUUUGUUUAAGAAGUACAACAUAGAAGAAGUUGAUGUUCUGGAGGAGAAGGUGAUUGGUUGCAAUUGGCCUUGAUGAGGCUUUGCAUUUAUCGAGAGGUGCUCUACAGUUCAAGGCAGCUCUCACUAAAGCCUUCCUUGAGAAAGAAGAAACAAAAACCAAUGUUAACCAUCGAAUGGACUACCAACCGUUGAUCAUUGAAUCGUCUAGCCAUCGAAUCGACCAUUGAACCACCUAGCUAUCAAAUUGAUUGCCGACCAUCUGCAUUAAACCGCCUAGCCAUCAAAUUUACCGUCAACCAUUGACCCUUGAACUGCCUAGCCAUCAAAUCGACUGCCAACCAUCAACCAUUGCACCGCCUAGCCAUCAAAUCGACUGCAAACCGCCUAAACCAGCAACCACACUGGUGACCAUCCAAAUAAAGCCCAUGUCACAUGUUGGGCUCUAUGGUAAACCCAGGAGUUGUGGAGAAGUCAUUCCUUUGGAUGCGUAAUGUAUUAAAAGGCCUCCUCGUUUUUAUCACCAUCAGAUGUGGGAUUGAUUAGUUUUAAGAAAAGUCAAUGAAAAAAAAAAUCCCACCUAUAACAAUUUGAACUAUGGACCUCAAGUCGAGGAGAUAGCAUGGGCACCAUUCGGCUACACACUUUUGAAUGCUAGACCAUCAAAAGCAACCGAACUGAUUAAAUUUUUAACAAUUGUGAAGUUUUGGUUAGGUUUUGUUAUUGUGGAAAUUGAUUUAGUUGAUUCAAUUUUCAA